rnacentral:lncRNA from 1 species
UUGAUUGGAGAACCAACGAAGACCAUCUUGGCAUAUAUAAAGAGAGGAAACUAUAAUUUUUGGGGAAAUCACCAAAAACCACGAUUUUGCCUCCCCCUUGGCUCUCAUCUAUAAGGGGAGGGGGGCUCAUCUGUUACAGACCCAAGAAGCCAUGGAAGAAGGUGGAUAAGGGGGGUGCUCCCCCAUGAUAAUCGGUCAGAGUAGGAGGUGCCCUACACUGCCACCUACGCAACCUCUUCCUCGCCAUGCCGCCGUCUUCACCGCCAGCUCCAUCACUAUCUACUCUCUAUCUAUAGUGGUUCACUCUCUUAUAAACCUCUGUAAUCCCCUAUGCGAUAAUGUGAACAUAGUGUUUCA